AGAUUCUGGACAGGAAAACCCAAGCGGUGGGGGUUAUCCCGUUUGCAAGUGAAGACAAUGGAUCUUUGGACCAUAACUGUAGGGACAGAGGCAACACUCUUCAUCUUUCCACUGAGAAGCCUCUGAUCGUACCCUAUUUACACCAAUAUUCACUAUGUUAGUCCUCCAGUCACUGCUAACCUGGCUGGUGAAAACUGAAGCAAAACAGAUGAGAACACCCUCUGUAUUUACAUGUCUCUUGGAAACUCACCUCUUCUGCAAUACACGCAAC